UUUAUUGGAGAGUUUGAUCCUGGCUCAGGACGAACGCUGGCGGCGUGCCUAAUACAUGCAAGUCGAGCGAAUCUGAGGGAGCUUGCUCCUAAAGAUUAGCGGCGGACGGGUGAGUAACACGUGGGCAACCUGCCUGUAAGACUGGGAUAACUUCGGGAAACCGGAGCUAAUACCGGAUAAUCCUUUUCUACUCAUGUAGAAAAGCUGAAAGAUGGCUUCGGCUAUCACUUACAGAUGGGCCCGCGGCGCAUUAGCUAGUUGGUGAGGUAACGGCUCACCAAGGCGACGAUGCGUAGCCGACCUGAGAGGGUGAUCGGCCACACUGGGACUGAGACACGGCCCAGACUCCUACGGGAGGCAGCAGUAGGGAAUCUUCCGCAAUGGACGAAAGUCUGACGGAGCAACGCCGCGUGAGUGAUGAAGGUUUUCGGAUCGUAAAACUCUGUUGUUAGGGAAGAACAAGUACCGUUCGAAUAGGGCGGUACCUUGACGGUACCUAACCAGAAAGCCACGGCUAACUACGUGCCAGCAGCCGCGGUAAUACGUAGGUGGCAAGCGUUGUCCGGAAUUAUUGGGCGUAAAGCGCGCGCAGGUGGUUUCUUAAGUCUGAUGUGAAAGCCCCCGGCUCAACCGGGGAGGGUCAUUGGAAACUGGGAGACUUGAGUGCAGAAGAGGAAAGUGGAAUUCCAAGUGUAGCGGUGAAAUGCGUAGAGAUUUGGAGGAACACCAGUGGCGAAGGCGACUUUCUGGUCUGUAACUGACACUGAGGCGCGAAAGCGUGGGGAGCGAACAGGAUUAGAUACCCUGGUAGUCCACGCCGUAAACGAUGAGUGCUAAGUGUUAGAGGGUUUCCGCCCUUUAGUGCUGCAGCAAACGCAUUAAGCACUCCGCCUGGGGAGUACGGCCGCAAGGCUGAAACUCAAAGGAAUUGACGGGGGCCCGCACAAGCGGUGGAGCAUGUGGUUUAAUUCGAAGCAACGCGAAGAACCUUACCAGGUCUUGACAUCCUCUGACAAUCCUAGAGAUAGGACGUUCCCCUUCGGGGGACAGAGUGACAGGUGGUGCAUGGUUGUCGUCAGCUCGUGUCGUGAGAUGUUGGGUUAAGUCCCGCAACGAGCGCAACCCUUGAUCUUAGUUGCCAGCAUUCAGUUGGGCACUCUAAGGUGACUGCCGGUGACAAACCGGAGGAAGGUGGGGAUGACGUCAAAUCAUCAUGCCCCUUAUGACCUGGGCUACACACGUGCUACAAUGGAUGGUACAAAGGGCUGCAAGACCGCGAGGUUUAGCCAAUCCCAUAAAACCAUUCUCAGUUCGGAUUGCAGGCUGCAACUCGCCUGCAUGAAGCCGGAAUCGCUAGUAAUCGCGGAUCAGCAUGCCGCGGUGAAUACGUUCCCGGGCCUUGUACACACCGCCCGUCACACCACGAGAGUUUGUAACACCCGAAGUCGGUGGGGUAACCGCAAGGAGCCAGCCGCCUAAGGUGGGACAGAUGAUUGGGGUGAAGUCGUAACAAGGUAGCCGUAUCGGAAGGUGCGGCUGGAUCACCUCCUUUCUAA
rnacentral:rRNA from 2 species